rnacentral:rRNA from 1 species
GACGAACGCUGGCGGCGUGCUUAACACAUGCAAGUCGAACGGAACGGCCCUGCCAUUGUGGGGUGCUCGGGUGGCGACCGGGUGAGUAACCCGUGAGUAACCUGCCCUUGACUUUGGGAUAACUUCAGGAAACUGGGGCAAAUACAGAAUAGGAGCUCCUGCUGCAUGGUGGGGGUUGGAAAGUUUAGGCGGUUGGGGAUGGAGUCGUGGCUUAUCAGCUUGUUGGUGGGGUAGUGGGUGACCAAGGCCUUGACGGGUAGCCGGGCUGAGCGGGUGAAAGGCCACACUGGGACUGGGAUACUGCCCGGGCCAGUAGUGGGGGAAGCUGUGGGGAAUAAGGCAUAAUGGGCGGGAGCCGCAUGGUGCAACGCCGCGUGCUGUAUGUUGGCCUUCGGUGUGGAGACCGCUUACACCCGUGACGAAGCGUAAAUGACGGUAAUGGGUAAGGAAGCACCGGCUAACUACGUG